rnacentral:tRNA from 1 species
ACUCAUGUAUUCUAAGYAUAAAGAGCUGGAUUCUUACUUCAGUA